UUAGAGUUUGAUCCUGGCUCAGAUUGAACGCUAGCGGGAUGCUUUACACAUGCAAGUCGAACGGCAGCGCGAGAGAGCUUGCUCUCUUGGCGGCGAGUGGCGGACGGGUGAGUAAUAUAUCGGAACGUGCCCAGUAGCGGGGGAUAACUACUCGAAAGAGUGGCUAAUACCGCAUACGCCCUACGGGGGAAAGGGGGGGAUCGCAAGACCUCUCACUAUUGGAGCGGCCGAUAUCGGAUUAGCUAGUUGGUGGGGUAAAGGCUCACCAAGGCAACGAUCCGUAGCUGGUUUGAGAGGACGACCAGCCACACUGGGACUGAGACACGGCCCAGACUCCUACGGGAGGCAGCAGUGGGGAAUUUUGGACAAUGGGGGAAACCCUGAUCCAGCCAUCCCGCGUGUAUGAUGAAGGCCUUCGGGUUGUAAAGUACUUUUGGCAGAGAAGAAAAGGUACCUCCUAAUACGAGGUACUGCUGACGGUAUCUGCAGAAUAAGCACCGGCUAACUACGUGCCAGCAGCCGCGGUAAUACGUAGGGUGCAAGCGUUAAUCGGAAUUACUGGGCGUAAAGCGUGUGUAGGCGGUUCGGAAAGAAAGAUGUGAAAUCCCAGGGCUCAACCUUGGAACUGCAUUUUUAACUGCCGAGCUAGAGUAUGUCAGAGGGGGGUAGAAUUCCACGUGUAGCAGUGAAAUGCGUAGAUAUGUGGAGGAAUACCGAUGGCGAAGGCAGCCCCCUGGGAUAAUACUGACGCUCAGACACGAAAGCGUGGGGAGCAAACAGGAUUAGAUACCCUGGUAGUCCACGCCCUAAACGAUGUCAACUAGCUGUUGGGGCCGUUAGGCCUUAGUAGCGCAGCUAACGCGUGAAGUUGACCGCCUGGGGAGUACGGUCGCAAGAUUAAAACUCAAAGGAAUUGACGGGGACCCGCACAAGCGGUGGAUGAUGUGGAUUAAUUCGAUGCAACGCGAAAAACCUUACCUACCCUUGACAUGUCUGGAAAGCCGAAGAGAUUUGGCCGUGCUCGCAAGAGAACCGGAACACAGGUGCUGCAUGGCUGUCGUCAGCUCGUGUCGUGAGAUGUUGGGUUAAGUCCCGCAACGAGCGCAACCCUUGUCAUUAGUUGCUACGCAAGAGCACUCUAAUGAGACUGCCGGUGACAAACCGGAGGAAGGUGGGGAUGACGUCAAGUCCUCAUGGCCCUUAUGGGUAGGGCUUCACACGUCAUACAAUGGUCGGGACAGAGGGUCGCCAACCCGCGAGGGGGAGCCAAUCUCAGAAACCCGAUCGUAGUCCGGAUCGCAGUCUGCAACUCGACUGCGUGAAGUCGGAAUCGCUAGUAAUCGCGGAUCAGAAUGUCGCGGUGAAUACGUUCCCGGGUCUUGUACACACCGCCCGUCACACCAUGGGAGUGGGUUUCACCAGAAGUAGGUAGCCUAACCGUAAGGAGGGCGCUUACCACGGUGGGAUUCAUGACUGGGGUGAAGUCGUAACAAGGUAGCCGUAUCGGAAGGUGCGGCUGGAUCACCUCCUUAAU
rnacentral:rRNA from 1 species